UCUCUUUUCCACCCUCCUCCUUUGGUGGAUUCGGCGCAUCCCGCAAGGGAUGCGCCAUUUUCU
rfam:Betaproteobacteria bacterium RIFCSPLOWO2_12_FTLL_67_28 rifcsplowo2_12_scaffold_2476, whole genome shotgun sequence.